rnacentral:rRNA from 1 species
GACGAACGCUGGCGGCGUGCUUAACACAUGCAAGUCGAACGGAAAGGCCCUGCUUUUGUGGGGUGCUCGAGUGGCGAACGGGUGAGUAACACGUGAGUAACCUGCCCUUGACUUUGGGAUAACUUCAGGAAACUGGGGCUAAUACCGGAUAGGAGCUCCUGCUGCAUGGUGGGGGUUGGAAAGUUUCGGCGGUUGGGGAUGGACUCGCGGCUUAUCAGCUUGUUGGUGGGGUAGUGGCUUACCAAGGCUUUGACGGAUAGCCGGCCUGAGAGGGUGACCGGCCACAUUGGUACUGAGAUACGGCCCAGACUCCUACGGGAGGAAGCAGUGGAGAAUAUUGCACAAUGGGCGGAAGCCUGAUGCAGCAACGCCGCGUGCGGGAUGACGGCCUUCUGGUUGUAAACCGCUUUCGCCUGUGACGAAGCGUGAGUGACGGUAAUGGGUAAAGAAGCACCGGCUAACUACGUG